AGUUCAGGCCCCGCCCAGUUAUUCAGAGCCCCGCCCUGACGGUACAGAGCUCCUCCCCUAGCUCGCGGCGACUGCCCCUGCUGGUCCCGCCCCGCCCCCGCCAUUCUGAACUCCGCUCCAGCUGGUCUAGAGCUCUUCCCCCAGCUCUCAGAGUCCAGCUCCAUCCCUAAGAACCCAAUGUAGAGCUCCUCCCCUAGCUCGCGGAGACUGCCCCUGCUGGUCCCGCUCCGCCCCCGCCCCCGCCCCAGCAAUUCAGUACUCGGCUCCAGCUGGUCUAGAGCUCUUCCCCUAGCUCGCAGAGUCCAGCUCCAUCCCCAAGAACCCGGGCCCUGCAAAGCUCUCCCGGAAUAACCCUAACCCUGCGCCCUGGGCCCUCCUCCUAGAUCCUGAGACCUCCGGGUAAUCCUCAAGCCCUCGCAGUCUGUGGGCUAGGACCUUGGCUCCGCCCCGACCUCGGGCGCAGAGUCUCCCUCAGAACUCGGUGCACGCAGCGCGGGAUCCUCCCUGAGCCUCCCUGAGAACGAAGGAAUGGAGAGUUCUGUUUUGGCAAGCACAAUCUAGAAGAUCAUAGAAAGUCUGGUCCAAAUGCUUCAUCUUACAUUUAAGGAAAGAGGUGCAGAAGGGUAGGACUUGCCUGUCACACAACUCUUUGGAGGAGGUGGAUUCUGGGGCACUUCCCACAUUCUAAGGUCCACUCUACCUGAAGCUCCUCUCAUUUCUCCUCACCGAUGGAUGGCACACUCACUGAAAACAUUGUAAUACCUGACUCACUGCAGAAAAUGCUUGGAGAUCCAGUACUACACUGCACUCUUUGCUUUGGAGCCUUCGAUCUAUUCAAGAUCAUUGAGAGUGUAUGCCUCUUUGGCCUAAGGAUUAUUUUGAGCUGAAGACAAUUAGGAAGAUGCAAAUAGGUACAAGGUACUAGAAAAGCAUUCUGCCUUCCCUCUAUUUGCCAAAAAGCAGGAUGUAAGUUUGCAAAGAUGUACCUCCUGCCUGCUCUACCAGAAAGGACAAAGAUUAAUCACUAGAGAUAAUUGUAGACCCUUGUCAGCCUGGAGACAACACAAGAAGAAUCUACAUGAUAAACUUUAGUGUCUAGCCUUUAUCUGCAGCUAGUCUCCCAUAAAUUUGUCUUUCCACAAUUUGCUGCCCCUAGAGACUCAAGGUCCUUUAUCUUGUCAUUUCUCUAAAAAAUGUAUUGUUCCUUUGCUAACAUGCUAUCUAAGCCCAAGUGUUUUGGUUUUCUGUUUUUUUUUUUGAGACGGAGUUUCUGUCACCUGGGACGGAAUGCAGUGGUGAGAGUCCAAGUUCUAAACAAACGAGUUGCUCAUCUCUGAGUUUUCCCACAUGUUACCUACAUGAACAAUGCACAUGUUGAUAAACUUGCUUUACUUUUGUUCGUCUUUGGCCAGUCUAAUGCACCGGGCCCCAGCUGGAGAACCUAAGAUACAUAUGUCGAGGAAAAGAUUUUUCCUCCUCUACAAGAGCUUGGUUCCCUAUCAUAUUAUUUCUAAUACCUGUUAGAGCAUUCAAGGGUACCUGCGUAUCAGACAAGCCCUGGAAGUCUGUGGUUUUUAGCUCUCUUCAUGUAGUGCUAAGCUAGUCUCAUGGGGAAGAUACUCUGUGGGGUUAAAUUUCCCUCAUUCCCCUUUCCAUUUCCACCCACGCACUGUGUCUCCAGAGAGCCUAAAUAGGGUUUGCAGGAGCCUUCCAUGUCAGCCUGACUCGAGUCACACAAAAGAUAUGUGAUUUUAGAGCAAAUUGACAACACAUCAGAGGCAGAGCUUGGUGUGAGCACCCUAGGCUCAGGAGCAAGAUACUGACUGGAAGGUGGUAUGAAACUAAAAGUUGAGGCAUUUGCCCCAGGGUAAAAGUCUGGAAUUAGAAAAAUGCUGGGACAGUGUUUGUCUUGAACAAGUUUUCUGCCCACGCCAGCUGUCCUUUCCAGGUUACCAAACACCUUAAAGGGGAAGUUAGCUAUUUUGCCAUAGGUUUUAACCAUCUGAAAAAAUCUGCUUUUCUUUUGCCUGAUGUUGCACUGAAAAAAUUGUUCUUCCACUUACCCCUUCCACAUUUCUCAAGAAUAAGUGUCUUCAGAAACAGAAAGUAAAACCCUAAAAACCAAAUCCUUCUGCCCAACUUGGCAUUGGUAUGUUACUUGGAUGUAUACGAUCUGUGACCUCUGUCAUGCUGCCUAUGACUACAGUGGACUUAUUGGGAUGAAUUUUAAUAUUCUCUCCUUGCAUUCAAUAAUCUUGUACUGAUGAGCUAGGUUUUAUUGUCUCUAUCUUACAGGGAAAACAAGUUCUCAGUAACCAGUGAAAAGGGAAGCUGAGAUCAAGUCCCAGACUGCUCAACUCUAAAGUCAGAUGGUCAGCACUUGUACUGUUCCCACAGUAGAUCUUAUGCACCAAGAAGCAAGAAUUCUUAUAGUAAUUACAAAUAACAGUAACCCCUUAUGUUUCACAGGGCAUCAAAUCCAUUCGCUGAUUUAAUUUUCUCCUACAUAGCUUUUAAUUUUCUCCUAUGCAUUAUACAGAAUAUUGGCUGAGUUAACAAAUAUCAAUAAGUUUACCAUAUUCAGUAUCAUCUCUCCCUAUCCUCAGGGAACAAAUAUAGCCUCAAGCUCCAUGGAUAAAUUUCUCCAUGCUUUAGCUUCCUGAGGUAGCAGUUACAAAAACCUGUCUCUCAGAAUCUUGGGGGGAAUUAAAUGAGAAAAAAGAAAAAAAAAAAUAUAUAUAUAUAUACAUAUGUAUGAUAGCACCUAGGGCAGUGCACACCAGGUAAAUGCCAGGAUGUUAUAUCUACACUGGGCAGGCUUGCAAGUCAGUGCAUAAGUUAAAUGCAAGAAUGAUGCAACACUAAUUGAAAUCCUAAACAUUAGUUUUCUUCCUAAUGCUCAAUCACUCCUUUUUACAUAACUAUUCCCUUUACAGAAACUACAAUGCAAAUCUCUGCCAUUUUAUGCAGACAGAUCUUUGUAAACCGAAGGAGAUCAGGAAUAAGGGCCAAGGUAAAAGUAACUUUGGGUUGCUUUUUCCUACUUGUGUUUAUCCACGCCCUAGAAUAUGAGGUUUCCAUGUAAUUCCAGCUCCAAUACUCACCUACACUUUGUCCUUUUUACUAUCAGUAACAAUAACAAUAAUUACUAUUUAGUGAGUACUCACUUGAUAAGAGUUUAUAUACACAGUCCUUAAUUCCUCCAUUGCAGCAUUGUUAGAAUUCUAUUUUACAGGUGAUAAAAUUAAGACUCAGAGAGUUCAAGAAAUUUGUCCAAUAUGAGUCUGUAAGGCUUGGCAUAGUGGCUUAUGCCUGUAAUCCCAGCACUUUGGAAGGCUGAAGCUGGAAGAUCACUUGAGGCUGGGAGUUCAAGACCAGCCUGGGCAAUAUAGCAAGACCCUGUCUCUCCAAAGGAAAAAAAGAAAAAAAGACAAACAGAAGAAAAAAAGAAGCAGGCAUGGUGGCUCCUACCCGUAGUCCUAGCUACAAGAGGGCUGAGAUGAGAGGAUCACUUGAACUCAGGAGUUAGAGGUUGCAGAGAGCUGUGAUAGACCCACUGCACUUCAGCCUAGGCACCAGAGAAAGACCUUCUUUAAAAAAAAAAAGUCUAUAAAUUGAAAAACUGGGAUUUAAAUCCAGUCCUUUUACCUGAAAUCAAUAUUUAUCACUAUUCCCAAAAACCAUGAUUUAUCUUCAGAAUAAUCAAAAUCUGCUGCUUGACCUAGCUUCCCGGAUAGAUGUUACCAGGAGGAACACUGACUUGUUGCUGUGAUAACUAUAUCUGUAAUUCAACUUUUUUCUUUUGUUGUUGUUUUUUUAGUUGGCGGCACGGUGAACCAUUUCUGGAGUUACUGCAAUACCAGGCUGAUGUGUGGAAUGGGUGGGGCAAACUCUUAUUCCAUCUCCCUGCUCAAAAAAAUCCAUUUAAAAUAUUGUUCUUGGAUAGAAGACAUAUUAGAUAUUAAGCUGAUAAAAAUAGAUGCUGCAUUGAUUUUUAGCCAAAAGGCCAAAAAGCAAUUGGAAUUCAACUUUCUACUCAUUCCCCACACAGACUGUGUUUCAUUCACAGCAUUAGGAUUCAACUUGAACAUUCUUCCACAUGUAGACAGUAUAGUGAUGGAUCAGGUACUUUGAAUUAUAGCAUUUGUUUCCAAAGAACUAAAAUAUCUGAGAUUUUGUUUCUAAGAUAAAGUCCCAGACUUCCAGGUUUAAUCCCAGGUUUUGCCUCAACAUACAAAUUCAUUUUUGAAAAUCCUUUAAUUUUCUGGCUAGCAGACCAGGAUUUCUAUGCUAAUUCUUUUGAAACAUAUAUCAUGUAGCAUAAUCAAAAUUGUGUGUGCAUGUGCAUGUGCAUAUAUUUGUGUGUGUGUGUGUGUGUGUGUGUGUGCUGGGGCAGAAGUGAUUAAGUAUAAAUCCAGAAAUCCUGUCAGAUUAUAUUUUGCUGCAUGCUUUGCUUUUCAUAUUCUCUCCUCAUAACU